UACGAGGGGGCGAGCGUUGUUCGGAAUUAUUGGGCGUAAAGGGCGCGUAGGCGGUGCGGUAAGUCACCUGUGAAACCCCGGGCUCAACUCGGGGCCUGCAGGCGAAACUGCCGUGCUGGAGUGCGGAAGAGGUGAGUGGAAUUCCCGGUGUAGCGGUGAAAUGCGUAGAUAGUCGGGAGGAACACCUGUGGCGAAAGCGGCUCACUGGACCGCAACUGACGCUGAGG
rnacentral:rRNA from 1 species